rnacentral:rRNA from 1 species
UACGUAGGGACCGAGCGUUGUCCGGAUUCAUUGGGCGUAAAGCGCACGUAGGCGGAUCUUUAAGUCAGGGGUGAAAUCCUGGAGCUCAACUCCAGAACUGCCUUUGAUACUGGGGAUCUCGAGUCCGGGAGAGGUGAGUGGAACUCCGAGUGUAGAGGUGAAAUUCGUAGAUAUUCGGAAGAACACCAGUGGCGAAGGCGGCUCACUGGCCCGGUACUGACGCUGAGGUGCGAAAGCGUGGGGAGCAAACAGG